UACGGAGGAUGCAAGCGUUAUCCGGAAUGAUUGGGCGUAAAGCGUCCGCAGGUGGCUGUGUAAGUCUGCUGUUAAAUAGUGAGGCUCAACCUCAUAAAGGCAGUGGAAACUACACGGCUAGAGUGCGUUCGGGGCAGAGGGAAUUCCUGGUGUAGCGGUGAAAUGCGUAGAGAUCAGGAAGAACACCAAUGGCGAAAGCAGCUUUCUGGGACGGUACUGACGCUGAGACGCGAAAGCAUGGGUAGCGAACGGG
rnacentral:rRNA from 1 species